AACUAAUUGAGGCUGAAUUCUAGCCUCCCGACUUCUGACCUAUUGUCUCUGCUGGUUGAUUUUUGGCAGGGAAAGAUAAAAUGGACAGAACUGGCUGGUUCUGUGAGGCUGAGAACUCAAGAAACCGACAGAGAUCACUCUACAUAUUUCAGAGAUCAUUUCUUCCAUGAAACCUCUGAUCAUCCUCAACCAAGUGUAAAAAAGAGAGUAACUGUGACUUAAAGUAAAAUGACUGGUCGUUCCAGAGUGAGAAGGAGGAAAAGCAAGAAUGGAUAAGAGUGUUGCAGAAAAGGAAUCUUGGGAGAUUCAUGGAAAAGACUCUGAGAACAACUCUGGAAUACAGAUUUCUGAUAACUUGAAGAUCAUGGAGCUGAAUGGGAGAAGAAUUUCCAGAACUAAUGGAAAAACUGGAUUCAAGAAAAUGAGAAUAAAA